CCUACGGGUGGCAGCAGUGGGGGAUAUUGCACAAUGGGGGAAACCCUGAUGCAGCGACGCCGCGUGAGUGAAGAAGUAUUUCGGUAUGUAAAGCUCUAUCAGCAGGGAAGAAAAUGACAGUACCUGACCAAGAAGCCCCGGCUAACUAGGAGACAGCAGCCGCGGUAAUACGUAGGGGGCAAGCGUUAUCCGGAUUUACUGGGGGUAAAGGGAGCGUAGACGGUUAUGUAAGUCUGGAGUGAAAGCCCGGGGCCCAACCCCGGGCCUGCUUGGGACACUGUGUAACUGGUGUACAGGAGGGGCAGGCGGAUUUCCUGGUGUAGCGGUUCACUUCGUAGAUAUCAGGAGGAACACCGGCGGCGCAGGCGGCCUGCUGGACUGAAACUGACGUUGAGGCUCGACAGCGUGGGGAGCAAACAGGAUUAGAUACCCCGGUAGUC
rnacentral:rRNA from 1 species